rnacentral:rRNA from 1 species
GAUAAACGCUGGCGGCGUGCCUGAGACAUGCAAGUCGAACGAAGGAUCGGUCUUGCCCGUUCCUUAGUGGUGGACGGUUGAGUAACGCGUAGGUAACCUACCCCGAAGUGGGUAACAACUGGCCGAAAGUGUGGCUAAUACCGCAUGUGGUCGCACGUACAUUCGUGCGAAUAAAGCCGCAAUUCGGUUCGGGAGGGUGGUGCGUCCCAUUAGCCCGUUGGUGGGGUUAUGGCUUUCCAAGGCGACGAACGGUAGGUGGUAUGGGAGGACGAUCACCCAGACUGGGGCUGGGAGACGGCGGGGAAUCCUGGGGAAGGGAGCAAGCGGGAAUUUUGCCCGACGGGGGAGAGCAUGAAGGAGCAAGGCCGGGAGAGGGAUGAAGGCGUGAAGGUUGUGAACCACUUUUGUCAGGGACGAUGAUGACGGUACCUGAAGAAUAAGCCACGGCUAACUACGUG